rnacentral:lncRNA from 1 species
CCUGAAACUGUUUAAUCUAAUGUCUGACUUAUAGCUAUGGCAAAAUUUUUCCCUUUUUCGAUUUCCUUAGAUUUGUAAGUAUUGUGGUGGAGGCAUUACCAUCUUCCCAUUUAAAUUCAGAAAAAAAAAUUGACAUGUUGUACUUUGUGACAGAAUUUCUGAGUUCUGUAGGCGUUUUGGAGUCAUAGGCAGAACAUAUAACUAGAAUACAAAUAAUCAAAACCUGUUGAUUUUCCUGACUUAGGAGAAGUUGUUUUAACUUUCAAUUUAUGAUAAUGUUCAGUAGAAAACUGAAACUUAUAACCACUUAAGAAAGUUUCUACCUUUUCUUUGUAAAAGUUCCUGUUUUAGUGAAGGUUUCAGUAUGUCUCAUUUGUAAUUUUUAUU